CCCAUUUGAAGACCCAUUUCAAAGCCGCACCUUCACGCUGCAGAAGGUUUUCGUCCAUUGGUUCAAGCUGCAGAAGCUCAGCGUCCAUUGUUGAGUUCAUAUCGUCUCAUCAUGGAAAAAGGGGAAGAACACUCAUCUCCCCUAACACCAUCUAGCUCAAAUCUCCCAACCACGGGCAUACCGUCAACUUCUCUAACAUUCAGAAAUUACAUGC